GACGAACGCUGCGGCGUGCUUAACACCUGCAAGUCGCACGGAAAGGCCCUGCUUUUGUGGGGUGCUCGAGUGGCGAACGGGUGAGUAACACGUGAGUAACCUGCCCUUGACUUUGGGAUAACUUCAGGAAACUGGGGCUAAUACCGGAUAGGAGCUCCUGCUGGAUGGUGGGGGGUGGAAAGGUUCGGCGGUUGGGGAUGGACUCGCGGCUUAUCAGCUUGUUGGUGGGGUAGUGGCUUACCAAGGCUUUGACGGGUAGCCGGCCUGAGAGGGUGACCGGCCACAUUGGGACUGAGAUACGGCCCAGACUCCUACGGGAGGCAGCAGUGGGGAAUAUUGCACAAUGGGCGGAAGCCUGAUGCAGCAACGCCGCGUGCGGGAUGACGGCCUUCGGGUUGUAAACCGCUUUCGCCUGUGACGAAGCGUGAGUGACGGUAAUGGGUAAAGAAGCACCGGCUAACUACGUG
rnacentral:rRNA from 1 species